UACAAUAAUGUCUAAGAUGAAUUAGCCCGCC
rnacentral:piRNA from 1 species